AUUGAACGCUGGCGGCAUGCUUUACACAUGCAAGUCGAACGGGCUUAGGGGCUUGCUCCUAAGUUAGUGGCGAACGGGUGAGUAAUGCAUCGGAACGUACCGUGUAGUGGGGGAUAACCCGGCGAAAGUCGGAUUAAUACCGCAUACGAUCUAAGGAUGAAAGCAGGGGAUCGCAAGACCUUGCGCUAUACGAGCGGCCGAUGUCGGAUUAGCUAGUUGGUAGGGUAAAGGCCUACCAAGGCAACGAUCCGUAGCGGGUCUGAGAGGAUGAUCCGCCACACUGGGACUGGGACACGGCCCAGAAUCCUACGGGAGGCAGCAGUGGGGAAUUUUGGACAAUGGACGAAAGUCUGAUCCAGCCAUGCCGCGUGAGUGAAGAAGGCCUUCGGGUUGUAAAGUUCUUUUGUCCGGGAGCAAAUCCUGUUCACUAAUACUGAGCGGGGCUGAGAGUACCGGAAGAAUAAGCACCGGCUAACUACGUGCCAGCAGCCGCCGUAACAC
rnacentral:rRNA from 1 species